GACGAACGCUGGCGGCGUGCUUAACACAUGCAAGUCGAACGGUGAAGCGCCUUUCUUUUUGGUUGGUGGGGAGGCGAGGGGGAGGGGUGAGUAACACGAGAGUAACCUGCCCCCUGCUACAGGUUAACCGCAUGAAAGUUUGGCUAAUACAGGAUAUUCUGGGGCUGUGGCAUGGUGGGUCUGGGAAGGAGGUUGUGUCGGUGGGGGAGGGUCUGGGGGCCUAUCGGGUUGUUGGGGGGGUGAUGGCCUAGCACGGGGGUGACGGGUAGCCGGCCUGGGGGGGUGGCCGGCCACACUGGGACUGCGACACCGUUCGGACUGAGACGGGGGGCAGCAGUGGGGGAUAUGGAACAGUGGGCGCAAGCGUGAUGCAGCGGCGCCGCGUGAGGGAUGGCGGCCUUCGGGUUGUGAACCUCUUUCGCUAGUGAAGCAGGCCCGCCUCGUUUGUGGGUGGGUUGACGGUAGCUGGAUAAGAAGCGCCGGCUAACUACGUG
rnacentral:rRNA from 1 species